GAGCGGAUGACGGGAGCUUGCUCCUUGAUUCAGCGGCGGACGGGUGAGUAAUGCCUAGGGAUCUGCCUGGUAGUGGGGGACAACGUUUCGAAAGGAACGCUAAUACCGCAUACGUCCUACGGGAGAAAGCAGGGGACCUUCGGGCCUUGCGCUAUCAGAUGAGCCUAGGUCGGAUUAGCUAGUUGGUGGGGUAAUGGCUCACCAAGGCGACGAUCCGUAACUGGUCUGAGAGGAUGAUCAGUCACACUGGAACUGAGACACGGUCCAGACUCCUACGGGAGGCAGCAGUGGGGAAUAUUGGACAAUGGGCGAAAGCCUGAUCCAGCCAUGCCGCGUGUGUGAAGAAGGUCUUCGGAUUGUAAAGCACUUUAAGUUGGGAGGAAGGGCAGUAAGCUAAUACCUUGCUGUUUUGACGUUACCGACAGAAUAAGCACCGGCUAACUCUGUG
rnacentral:rRNA from 1 species